UAAGAAGUGAAGAGCAGUGGAGGAAAAGGAAUCAUCAGAAUGGCAGAAAGUAAGACUUAUGCACCAACCCCAAUGGCAUGCAGUAUCCUGUAAUAAAGGCACUGGGACAGUGAGAGUGCUAAUUUCAUCAUCUUAGUGGAAGAUCUCUGUAGGACUAGAUUCUUCCUCUGGUCAUUUUCUUCCCUCCUUGACUAUUUUGAUGACACAAAUCAAAAUCUGUGGUGACAGGGAAAGGAAGAACCAGAAAAGUCAUUAUUUGCAUUCAACAGCUGAAGACUUGCAAAGGAUUCCAGAAUGUAGUGUGAUCAUGGAGCAUGUGGGCUUUUCUGCGAAUACCAAAAUGCGAGUUUAACAUUUAAACAAGUAUCAGAUAAAAAUGCAUGUACUAACUUUUGAAGCCAUACUUUUCAAGUGUGAAAUAUGUUAAAAGACAGUUUUAAGUACAACACUAAUUAGAUGAACACUUUAACUUAGUGGAUACAAGAUGUCUGUGCAAAUGUCUUCCUGCAGAACCAAAUGAAUCCGUG
ensembl:lncRNA